rnacentral:tRNA from 1 species
AUUUUUAUAGUGUAAAAUAACACUUAAUAUCUUCAAUAUUACAAUACCUACCAGUUAAGAAUA